UACAGAGGGUGCGAGCGUUGUUCGGAAUUACUGGGCGUAAAGCGCGCGCAGGCGGCUUUUUAAGUCUGACGGUGAAAUGCCGGGGCUCAACCCCGUGCCCGCCGCGGAUACUGGGAGCUGGAGACAUGUAGAGGCAAGCGGAAUUCCGGGGUGUAGCGGUGGAAUGCGUAGAGAUCCGGAAGAACACCGGGAGGCGAAGGCGGGCUUGCUGGGCA
rnacentral:rRNA from 1 species